rnacentral:rRNA from 1 species
CGAUUGAACGCUGGCGGCAUGCCUUACACAUGCAAGUCGAACGGCAGCAUGGGUGCUUGCACCUGAUGGCGAGUGGCGAACGGGUGAGUAAUGCAUCGGAACGUACCCGGAAGUGGGGGAUAACGUAGCGAAAGUUACGCUAAUACCGCAUAUUCUGUGAGCAGGAAAGCGGGGGAUCGCAAGACCUCGCGCUUCCGGAGCGGCCGAUGUCGGAUUAGCUAGUUGGCGGGGUAAAGGCCCACCAAGGCGACGAUCUGUAGCUGGUCUGAGAGGACGACCAGCCACACUGGGACUGAGACACGGCCCAGACUCCUACGGGAGGCAGCAGUGGGGAAUUUUGGACAAUGGGCGAAAGCCUGAUCCAGCCAUGCCGCGUGCAGGAUGAAGGCCUUCGGGUUGUAAACUGCUUUUGUACGGAACGAAAAGACUCCUUCUAAUAAAGGGGGUCCAUGACGGUACCGUAAGAAUAAGCACCGGCUAACUACGUG